GGGAAUCCCGAAACGUGACGAGCUCGCGGAUAUUUCACAAAGGCAUUAUUGGGAGAGCGGCGCUGGCACGUGCACUGCCUGUAGAGCGCAAGCACAGAAGGAGAAAGAGGCAGCUAGUAAAGCUUUCCCCGGCACAGGCCCCUUAAGACAAGACUCUUUCUGUUGAGCAUUUCCAUGGAAACCAAGCAACUAACUUGAGGAGGAACAUAAAACCUAGCUUUUUUGGAGAACGGAGGAACACCUGCCACCUCUGCAAAUGGAGGGGGACUGUAAUGACACAAACAGUGACUGAAAUUUUCUGCCUCUGCUUCCCCAAGCAUUUCUACCACAGACCCGUGACGAGGGGCCUUUAAGGGUCAGCACAUUGCUGGCUGUGAGUAAAGA